UCAAUGUGAUUUGACGCCCCCACUACCCCCAGUAUACAAAGAAAAAGUUGGAAGACCUGCAAAAUUGCGAAGAAGGGAACCAGAUGAACCACCCCCUUCUGAAAAUAAGUUGAGAGGUGUAAAAAAAUUUACAAAAUGCAAAUUAUGCGGUGGAUCAGGACACAACAAAAGGACUUGUAACCGGACUGAAAAUGUCCAACACCAAGAAGCUGUACAACAAGAGCCCAUGACACAACAAAGUGCUAUUUUACCAAAUAAUAAUUUGGAUCCAACUAGAAAAGAAAAACUACAGGUGAAAAGAGCACGGCAAGUUGGAGUUAAUAUUGAAGGGAAUUCAGGUUCAAUAUCUUUGAUAAAUGUUAACCAAUCAUUGAAUAUUC